rnacentral:rRNA from 1 species
UAGCGGUGCGCCUAACACAUGCAAGUCGAGCGCUACUUCGGUAGAGCGGCGAACGGCUGAGGAACACGUUGGAACCUGCCCCAGACUCAGGGAUAACCCCGCGAAAGCGGGGCUAAUACCGGAUGGUCUCGCGAGAGUAAAGCUUUUGCGGUCUGGGAGGGGCCUGCGGCCUAUCAGUUAGUUGGUGAGGUAAUAGCUCACCAAGACUAUGACGGGUAACUGGUCUGAGAGGACGACCAGUCAGAAUGGGACUGAGACACGGCCCAUACUCC